UACGUAGGGGGCUAGCGUUGUCCGGAAUCAUUGGGCGUAAAGCGCGCGUAGGCGGCCCGGUAAGUCCGCUGUGAAAGUCAAAGGCUCAACCUUUGAAUGUCAGCGGAUACUGCCGGGCUAGAGUCCGGAAGAGGCGAGUGGAAUUCCUGGUGUAGCGGUGGAAUGCGCAGAUAUCAGGAGGAACACCGGUGGCGAAGGCGGGUCUCUGGGCCGAUACUGACGCUGAGGAGCGAAAGCGUGGGGAGCGAACAGG
rnacentral:rRNA from 1 species